AAUUUUUUUACCUUUCUUUUGUGACGUUUUUGUCUCGACAUCGAUGUUAUUCAGGAUUUAAAAAUAAAACGGCAGAAGCAAAGAUAGACAAGCUCCGGACUUCAGCUGCAGACUUUCUGUGAGGUUGAAGCUCUGACGUCAGCGUCGACAGGAGGCAGACAAAACUGGACCUGCGGCUCAUUUUUUUUCCAGUUUCCUUUCAGGUCACCAACAUGGCUGAAACGCACAGCAGAGUGACAGCGCAGGGCAGGAAGAAGUGGGUCGUUCCUCAGAGAAGCGCCACGGAUGAAAACAAACCGAGAGGUCGUCCUCCGGACAAAGAUGCUGACAGAAAUCUGGCGGUUCCUUUCAGAGGACACAUCUCCGACGGGAUGCGUCCAGGGAAGAAGGUUGUGGUGGUCGGUGUGGUGGACUCCCGUCCUGACAGGUUCUACCUCGCCCUGACGCGAGGCCGUGGGACAUCCGGGGAGCCGCCGCCGGACGUGGCUCUGGAGCUCUGUGUUCGUUUCGGGGACAGGCAAGUCCUGCGCAGAGCCUGCGUGUCUGGAUCCUGGGGGGACACCGACAGAGCCGUGCCUUUCUUCCCCUUCAUCAGAGGCCAGCCGUUCAAGAUUGAGAUCCACUGUGAACAAAGUGGGUUUCGUGUGUUUGUGGACGGACAGAAGCUGUUUGACUUCCACCACCGGUUGCUGUCCCUCGGUGACAUCGACACGGUGUGGAUCAAAGGCAGCCUCACCAUCACCAAACUAGCCUGAGGUAAAGGACAGACCUCCAGGCCUCACCAUCACCAAACUAGCCUGAGGUAAAGGACAGACCUCCAGGCCUCACCAUCACCAAACUAGCCUGAGGUAAAGGACAGACCUCCAGGUCUCACCGUCACCAAACUAGCCUGAGGUACAGGACAGACCUCCAGGUCUCACCGUCACCAAACUAGCCUGAGGUAAAGGACAGACCUCCAGGUCUCACCGUCACCAAACUAGCCUGAGGUACAGGACAGACCUCCAGGUCUCACCAUCACCAAACUAGCCUGAGGUAAAGGACAGACCUCCAGGUCUCACCAUCACCAAACUAGCCUGAGGUAAAGGACAGACCUCCAGGUCUCACCGUCACCAAACUAGCCUGAGGUAAAGGACAGACCUCCAGGUCUCACCAUCACCAAACUAGCCUGAGGUAAAGGACAGACCUCCAGGUCUCACCAUCACCAAACUAGCCUGAGGUACAGGACAGACCUCCAGGUCUCACCAUCACCAAACUAGCCUGAGGUAAAGGACAGACCUCCAGGUCUCACCGUCACCAAACUAGCCUGAGGUACAGGACAGACCUCCAGGUCUCACCGUCACCAAACUAGCCUGAGGUAAAGGACAGACCUCCAGGUCUCACCGUCACCAAACUAGCCUGAGGUACAGGACAGACCUCCAGGUCUCACCAUCACCAAACUAGCCUGAGGUAAAGGACAGACCUCCAGGUCUCACCGUCACCAAACUAGCCUGAGGUACAGGACAGACCUCCAGGUCUCACCGUCACCAAACUAGCCUGAGGUACAGGACAGACCUCCAGGUCUCACCGGGUCUGAACCAGAACUCUGUGGUCCCUCUGGAUGCACACCAUGAAGUGUGGAAUCAGCAGGAAGACUGUGGGAUCCUGACGCUAAGCUAACGUUACGUGUGCAGCAAGCAUUGUGUGUGUGUAUUGUGUGUGUGUGUGUGUGUGUGUG